UACGUAGGGGGCAAGCGUUGUCCGGAAUUAUUGGGCGUAAAGCGCAUGUAGGCGGCAACGCAAGUCGGGCGUGAAAUCCCACGGCUCAACCGUGGAAGUGCACUCGAAACUGCGUAGCUAGAGUCCUGGAGAGGAAGGUGGAAUGCUUGGUGUAGAGGUGAAAUUCGUAGAUAUCAAGCGGAACACCGGUGGCGAAGGCGGCCUUCUGGACAGUGACUGACGCUGAGAUGCGAAAGCGUGGGGAGCAAACAGG
rnacentral:rRNA from 1 species